rnacentral:Y_RNA from 1 species
GGCUGGUCUAAUGGUAGUUAUCUCAGUUGACUGCUCACAGUCAGUUACAGGUCAAAUUCCUUUUCUCUUUUCCCCCCUCACUACUGCACUUGACUACUCUAAA